CAAUAAUACUACGCAUAUGUGCGUUCAAAGGAUAGUACGAAUUUUUAAUUAUUUUUAUACUUUUUCUUAUUUUGAUUGUUUCAAAGAUCUUAAUAAAAUCAAUUUCAAUUUUUAUCAUAAAUACAUAUGAACUUUAUAUUUUCUUCAAAUAACUGUAGUUCAAAGAAAUAAGAAUGAAAUAGAUAAGUAUAGAAGUACUAAGUAUAAAUAAGUAUAAAACUGUCCUCAAUCCCUUAGAUUUAAAUAAAAUGGUGAAAAAAUGAUUAAUUCCUGUAAAUAUGUUAAUUGGAAGAUGUUAAUUGGAUAACUAUAUAAAAGGUAAGUAAAAAAACAGUAAAUCAUUCUACAAAAAUUUUAUAUUAUUUUACUUUGUUUUAAAUUAUGUUAUCAUUAUAAAAAAUAAAAUUUCGAGUUUAUAUUCUCCUAAUAUAAAAUCCAAAAAUUUCGAAAAUUCCAAGAAUUUGACGUCGCUUCCAAAAACUGUCGAAAUUCUUGGAAAAAAUUCUCGAACGACCUCCUGUCAAGUUAUGUUCUUCUGAUACAAAGUCGAAAAAUUGGCGAAAAAUUUUUAGAUUUAGAAUUUCUGGAAAAAUUUUUACUAGCUAAAAUUUCGAUUUCGUAUCAGGAGAAUAUAAUCAUAGAGGGGGUGGCACAUGAAAUUUUUCUAGAAAUUGUGAGAUUGAAACUUUUGACCAAAUUUUUUAUCAAGAGAAUAUAAUUUAACAAGAAGUUUUAUAUACUUACUUUACAUACUUACCUUUUAUAGCUUCUUUUAUAAUAUUUUUUUCUUUUUUUUUUUUUCCUUAAUUCUAAAGAUACUUAUCGCUUAUAUAUUUACCUUUUAUUAUACUUACCUUUCCCUUACUUUAUACUGAAUAUUUUUUUAUAAUUUCUUCUAACGAUACAUAAAAUGGAUUUUAUCAUCUCAUUAUCUGGCAUAUUUCCAUUGUUAUUGAUAAUAUUAAGAAAAGUUAAAGAAUCCGAGGAAUUAUAUAUUCCGAAUCAAUUUAUUUUUUUAUAAUAUUAUGUAAUUUUCAACGCAUAUAUGCAACGUGUGCAAUUUUCCGUAAAAAAGAAAAAAGUACUAAACCUUAAAAUAAAUAAAAUUAAUUACCUUUUAAACCAAUAAUUUUCCUUUUUAUAGAGAAUGACGUGCCACAUCUAAUAACGCAUCAAAAAGUAAAACUAGAUUCUAUUUAAAAAAUGAUCUUCAUCCUUGUAAACUCUAUUCAUUUAUUUAUAAAAAAAAAAAUAAUGAUAUGAAAAUAUACCUUAUCUUCUUUCUUCAUGGGAAACAUUUUUCAAAUAUUCUAAAAACCAACAAUAAUUUUUCAAACGAUAAAGAAUUUUUCUAUACCAAAAAUUAAAUCUGAAAAUCUGAAAGAAAAAAAACUCAAAAAGGGAAUGAAAUUUUCGUUCAACAUUCACUUAACAUUUUUUUUUUUCUCCUCUUUUAUAUAUUAAGAAUUUUUAAUAAUCAAUAUUGUCGGAUAUAUAUAUAUAUAUAUAUAAUAUAUAUAUAAUAUAAUACAUUAUAUUAAUUGAGACAGUAUGGACACAACGUAUAAUUGGCGCGGUAAGGUGACAAAGAAGCCUCUCCCUUGUCAGUGUCCCUUCGUCGGAGGGUUGCUUCACGCACACGUUCCUCGUUUUUUUCUUUUUUUUCCCUUUUUUUUUCCCCCUUUCUUUCUCUCCACUUCUCCUCCCGUCGUUUCUUUUCGAAAUUUUCCACGUAAUUUUUCCACUCUACGCUUAUCACAACUUGGUUAGUUCCCUUAAGUAUAUUAAAUAUACCAUCUCUGCGGAAAGAGGGCCCCCUUUCAACUAAUCGCGAAGAGUCGACGAGAAUUGAUUUCCAAAGAAUUAUUUAUUUUUCCUAAUAUAAUUUCUCGAAUAUAAAAAAUUUUCGAAGUUCUUUUUUUUUUUCAGAAACAUCAAAAACGGUUUCAAUUUAAACAAGAAUGUUAUGUUCGAGCAAUUUGUAUUUAUGUGUACGAUAAUUCGUUAUCCUUUAAUCUACCGUCAUUCGAUAAAUCCAUUUUAGCCACUCUUUCUAUAGAGAAAAAUCUAAUUUCACCCCUUUUGGUUACCACUAUCACCACCUUUGUCACAGCCCUCCCCCUCGUCCCGCAUGCCCCAAAGGUUAACCACCCCUCGUACAUACUUAUUUAUUUAUUUUUUCCCCCCUUCCAUUUUACAACUGCUCCCCCUCAUUUAAAAAAAGUCCCAUCCAGCAUCCAGUUUUAUUUUUCAAGAUAAAGAGCGAAUAAAUUUUUCUUAAAUUCUACGCUAUUCUUUUUUUUUUUUUUUUUUUUUUAAUUAGCGAGGUUAGGUCGUCAAAUGAGAUUAGAAAGAUAUCAAACGAGGUUACGUAAGGUUUAUAUCUAAUUUAUAUCAUUUUCUGAAAAGGAUCAAGAAAAUGCUGGGAUGGGAAAUUUUUAAUUAAAGAGGCUCACCAUGUCUUUCAUCAUGUUUUUCGUUUCGUUUGUUUCUUUUUUUCUUUUUUUUCUUGCCACCUCCCUCGCAGCGUAUCGUUAUACUAUUUAGUCUAAUCCCUGAUAUAUAACAUGAACCUCGUUCACAAUCGUAAAAAAAAGAAAAAAAAAAAAAAAAAAGGAUCGUGAGACGAAAAUACGCCAACCGAGAUGGUCAGGACAUUCCUCUCCUCUUCCUUUCCCUUCCAUGUUUAUUCCAUAUCGCGUUUUUCGUGCCCCUUUAUUCUCGCAACAUGCUUUCGAUGAACUUCUCUUUUUCAGAAAGAUUUUGCUCAGAUUUGGUGUCUUGGAGGAUCAUAAAUUCAAAAAUUUAUCAUAACUUGAUCGAUAUUUUGUAGAGAUUGUGCGUUUCGAAAAUGAAGAUCAAAGUGAAAAAUUUCUAUUUCUUUUCACGAAAUGAGGUUAACUUAAUCCUAACCUAAAAAUAGAAUCAACACGAUUGAAAGAUUAAUAAUCGAUUAAUAAAUCGAUAUAUCGAGGAUACGUAUUAUAUAUAAAAAUGGCAACCUCCUGACGACACCUAACCUUAACAAUCUCCACGAUUUCGAUCCUUUAAACGAAAAAAAAAAAAAAAAAAAAAAAGAAUCGCUCGCGUGUUUUCGCUUCGCCGCCUACUUUGUACAACCGAUAACUACACAGUGUGCUAUUCUCAUUUGCUCAAUAAAUAUUCGAUAAAUAUAUCAUUGUAUUUCAUCAUUAUAAUAUAUGUAUAUCAUCGUAUUGCCGUAAUAAUAGGUAAUAAUAAUCGCACUAUGUUCAUAAUUCAUCGCCGUUUUUUUUUUCGUCGUUUACAAUUUACCAGUGUGUCGUUAAGUACCUUUCAAUUUUAUAUAUAUAUAUAUUAUUUAUUAUUUAAUAUUAUUAUUAUUAUUAUUAUUAUUAUUAUUAUUAUCGUUAUUCUCGUAGCUGAACUUGCACCUCGCAUGCUCGUGCGUUCUAUGUUCAUCUAUUUAAAUUCUCGCAACACAUCUCUUCUAACCACCCAUCCCAACAACGGAAAAAAAAAAAAAAAAAAGAAGGAAAAAAAAAAAUCAAAAACAAUCGUACACCUUUCUUCUUAUCUCGUUAAUCAGUUAUCUUGCUAAAUUAAUCGUUCGUUAGCUACGCGUUUACAUAUAAUAUAUUAUAUACGUCUUCUCAGUCCCCUCGCAAGCUUAAAUUCUACGCAAACGACCCAUCACUUUUCUUUCUUUCUUUCUUUCUUUCUUUCUUUCUUUUUUUUCACUCGCUUAAUUGCACGAAAAUUAUCAAAUACGUCUCGACUUUCCAAUUUUCUCGAUCAAUCUUUUACCAUUUUUCUAUGAACAAUGUUCUCGAUUUAUUUUCUAAUCCAUUUUUGACCCGUGUAGCAGCGGGUGGCUCGGGAUAUCCAGUCGAUAUUUCGUUACUUUUUCGCCUAUUUUUAUCCUCGAACCUAUUUUUUUCCUUUUCGAUCGAGACGCGAGACUGAUGCGUAAUUAAGCUUUCCUUGCUUCUCCUGCAGACAAUCGUUCGUAUCGACAUCGCCCCGCCCCCUAAAGUCUACUAGAGAAAUAUCUAUCUUACGUAGAAAAAGUCCUCGUGCGCACUGUCGCGCCGGAGAGAACUUUGCGGCUGAGAAUCACCUCCAUCGAUCUAUCCUUCUCGUUGUCGAUACAAAUGGUAUUUAAGGGAAUGGAAGCGAUAAUAGUUCCUUUUCUUUUUUUCACGUUUUUCCUUCGAACUUUGCUUCAGUUUGAAAGAAAUUCGAUUAAUACGUACAACUAGUCCCUAUCGUUGAAGGUUAGAUUACAAAUGGAUGGAAGUAAGGUUAAGUUGGAAAAAAAUUGAUUUUCACGAUCACUUUUUAGAUACGAAUACUACGAGGUAAUAUUAAAACGAUCACUCUUCAAUAAAUUAACUAGGACGCUACUUAAGUAACAAAUUAUCACGAGAUAUGCAAUUAAAUAGUCUAUCUAUAAUUGCUACGAUAGAAGCGAGAUACGAAACUUUCCAUUCUCACAACGAGGUUAACUAUCCUUACAGUGUUCAUUGUUAUCGGUUCGAGUCGAUUUAUCACAACAUCGUCGCUAUAAAAUACAAAAUAUCUAACUAACGUAUCCUUACUUUUUUUUUUCUUUUAUUUUUUUUUUUUUUUUUAGAAUUAAGAUCUUUCUUCGUUCGGAGACACGUGUGAUCCCAGCCGCAAUGCAUUUCGACCGGCGGAAUUUCGAUUCGUGCGGACGAAUUUUUUUUAAUGCACUUUCGGUUCAAGGCAGCUCGAGACGCUAUUAGAAAAUGUUUUUCACGUGGAUGCCACGAGAAUAAUCGGCGCGACGCGAGCUCGACGUUGGGACGCCGUUUUUUUUUGAGCGGAAACCCGAUUGGCUGGACUCUCAGCUGGUAAAAGCGAUUCACCAGGCGUUGCGAUGAAAGAUUUCUCUCAAUUCGAUUUUUUUUUUUUUAUUUAUUUUUAUUAUUUCGUGAAAAAUUCACGAAAACUUUGAUAUUUUCGAGUUAUUUCGCCGAAAUUUAAUUCGAAAUUAAGAGUAAUCUUUCCUCGCGAAUCUGUGUUUUGAAAGCCGAUCUAACCACGACCUUUCACCUCAUUAGGAAGACCUAACACUACUUUGUAAUCCUUCUAUCCUAAUUGGCACUCUACUCUAUUUGCACCCAUCGUACGCUGACCAUUCCCGAAUCACGUAUCUUUUUUUCAAUAAUUUUCUCAAGCUUUCUAACGUGACUAAAUAUUCUUUUACAAAACCUAUUUCCUUUUUUUUUUUUUUGUUAUGAUAAUAAAAUAUUACAAUAUAGUAAGUUAAUAAAGAGGAACUUUGAGAACGUACUACACACGAAUUUUAACAUUAUAAAAAUUCUACAUGAUAUCGAUACGUGAUUCUUGAUCGUCAAUUUCUACAAAAUUUCGUACAAUUUUUAAUUAAAAUAGAAAAAAAAAAAAACAAAAAACAAAA